UACGUAGGGGGCAAGCGUUGUCCGGAAUCAUUGGGCGUAAAGAGCGUGUAGGCGGCCCGGUAAGUCCGCUGUGAAAGUCCAGGGCUCAACCCUGGGAUGCCGGUGGAUACUGUCGGGCUCGAGUCCGGAAGAGGAGUGUGGAAUUCCUGGUGUAGCGGUGAAAUGCGUAGAUAUUUGGAGGAACACCAGUGGCGAAGGCGGCCCUGCUGGACGGACAACUGACGCUGAGGCGCGAAAGCGUGGGGAGCAAACAGG
rnacentral:rRNA from 1 species